CUGUAUCUGCGUCUCUUAUCUUUAUAUCGUCCUUGUGUGGGAAGGCUCUUAUAUGAUCUCUUCUAUCAGGUGAAGAUGGGGAAAGCCGAGUGAACAGUUGAUGGGAAGGAGUUGGACAGUGCGCAGGGUACAGCAAGGUAUGGUGCGGCAAACUUGCUCUGAAGCUCUGCAGGUUUGACGCGGAGACUAUCUCCGAGGCCAGAUCUUGAGGGCGGACCGACCGACCACUGGUAGCCACGGCAUGGGAUGACGGGAAUAAAGUGGAUUUUCAAUCUCACGAUGGUUCCCUGGAUCGUCUUCAUAUAUUUAUGAGAUCUCUAUAUUGAAUGGGUUCUUUCCUAGGAUAGUGCCGAGAUGGAAGCAUCGACCGUGCAAGACGUCAAAAACUCAUCUUCAGUUUUGGAGUGCACGGGUAAGAGGUAAGGGUGAUAAUAAGAACAAAAAGGGGAGGAAUGGACCAGAAAGCGGAGAAGAAAAAAGGCCGGGCAAGAAAUUUUCUCGGCCUUCAAUAUGAAAACCUGAGAACAAGUCCAAGACAUAAAAAAAGGGUAAAUGUAAUUAAGUACUCUUCACAUCUCUCUCUCUCUCGAACCCUUUUGCCCUUAUAUUUCGUUCCUGUAGCCUCCAUUAGGAAACUCGUUGUCGCGUGUUGGCACCCAUUUUCUUCUUUCGUAAUAAGACACAUCCUUUUGCAGGCUGUGGCUUCGUUCAUCCUAUAAACCACCCACCCAGCAACCUCACCGUCUCCUGUCCCAUAUCUCCUCCAGCUCCCUGGCCAGGUCCUUCUGGCGUCCGACGACGAUGGUGACGUGGUCCUUGCCGUCGAUGACCCUGACCUGGGCGCGCGGGACCUUGGCCUUGACCGCGUGGCUGCACUGCACGGGGAGGAGCUCGUCGUCGCUGCCGUGGUAGACGGUGACGUCGCAGGCGAGCUGGUCCCUGACCACCUCGAGCCACCCGUCGAUCUUGCCCGCGCUGCCGCAGAUGAUGUUGUGGAGGGUGUGCCACGACGCGAUGUGCGUGUGGCAGAAGAAGCCGUCCAUCAGGUACGUCCGUACCCUGCCCGUAGGGAGAAGGAGCACAGCACGACGAAUGGUUGGUUAACCGGAAAAAACAACAACAACAACAACAACCGUGUCUCUCAAACAGUCAAACCAAACCGUGCUGCUGUGCUUGUUUUUAGUUGGUAGUUGGGAGUACGUGCACCCGCACCCCGCUGGAUACAUCUGAAUGGAGAGACGAUGAUCUGUAUCCGCUCCUUUUAUGGCACGCUUAACCAAAUCUUGCUGGGAGCGGGGGUGUUGGACGAUUAA